CAAACACCUCUCGUAUCGAUCCCCUCGAGGAGAAGCCGUCGCCCCCAUCUCCCGUUCCGCCGCCGCCGCCCCCCACCUUGCCCUAUCUCCCUCUCAGCCACCUCCGCCGCCCCCACGCUUCUCCUCACCACAACAGAUCCCUUCGCCGUCGCCCUCGCACUCGCACCAAGCCGCCGCCGAUCCCUGCGUCGAUCCUUCGCUGCCGCCGAUCUCGUCGCUACAUCGACGGCAACCAGGGGUCGUCCUCCGCCCAGCCGCAGUGGAGAUCAAGCAGGAGUCCUCCAAGGACGACUCCCGCGGGAUCAUCCUGAUCCUGUUCGAGAAGUUCGGCUUCUCCCACCGCGGGUCCGUCUCCAUCGCGCUCACCGGCGCCAGGGCUGCCUCCAAGCUCGCCAAGCCGGACUCUUCGCAGCUCGGCUUCUUCCUUUGGUGAUAUAGAAGAUGAAAUUAUUAUUUACAAAAGAAAUUGUUUGAGGUCAAGAGUUGAUGCCAAAUGUCCUGGAUCAGGACAACUCCUGGGAAACAAGGCGAACGGGUCCCUGAUUUUAUCACUUCCGUUGACGAGUCUUGUGUCAGCAUCUUGAUGCGAGGUACAACUUCUAGGUGAUCUUCUUCAUGUUUUACGUUGUUGUACUUUUUGCUGCAAUGUGGACGUACAUAUUCUAGCAGAUAUAUCUUCAUGCUUUACCUUGUUUACCACUGCCCUGAUGUGGAGGUACAGAUUCUAGCUGAUAUAUAUCGUCAUGUUUUACCUUUUACCAACAUCCAAGAUUUUUGUUUCCUCAUUUCUUUCAAUUAGAUAGAAGAUGGGACGUGCUUUGUUGUAGUUUCCUCUUACUUUGACUAAGUAGGACAUUUUUUUGAAAUACCAAAUUGUGGUGUCGCUACCCCUACGCACCACGGUUUUGCAGCACCCUCAGCUAAAGUAAACCAUUCCAAGCCUACCAUACUCGAAACAUGGAAGCAUGCAAACUUCAGAGCAUCUUGGUGUCGCUGGCCACCCGAUCUCUACAACCACCACAAAAUGCUACAGGACCAACCAGGCCGGUGUCCUGACCACUGAAUCAUGUCACUGUGUGGGCGCCUAGAUCUCCCAUGUGUCUGUCUAAAGCCUGAGGGGCCAACCUCGCUCGAGCGUCGCCAGCCAGCACUCAUCUGCACAUGAACAAAUGGUUGGAUAUAUGUGCCUCCUCCGUCUCUUAUUCCCCGAAACAUAAUUUGAUGAGUAGAGUUUCUAAUCAUUUAUGGCACACUGGCAUAUGAUUAAACUGCACAAGUUAGAUUGACAUUUUGUGGAGAACGGUCGUCGGUUGGGAGCCUCGCCGUCUACCUCCACCAGCCGGCCCACACACCAUUGCUCCCCGCGUGUCGCGCCCCUCCCCGAACCAUCAUGCCUUCUAAUUAGUGUACGUGGUAGUCUGGUAAAAGUGGAGAAUAAUUCGGGUAAUGUCUAUGGAUGUACUACCAGUAUUGCGGCUAACCUGCCUGGCAGUGAGAUGCAUCUAGAUUAGAUCUGAUUACUGAUAUAGAAGAUGCAAUUAAUUAUCUAAAAUUUUCCUUGUACCAUUUUCCAUGAGAUUAAUGUAAUUGGGAAUACCAGUGCUUGUUUGAAUCAUUUAGUUAAAUAAUUUUAUAGAUAAAACUUGUAUUUGUAUGUUUUGGAAUUACUAUUAUCCUGGUAAAAUGACCACAAGUGAAAGGGUUGUAAAGAUUAAUUAUUCUUUGUGGAAGCAUUACUGGUCUAAUUAAUAGAUGUACAUGCAUCAAUAAUGUUGUUGAGCUUUAGUUGAUUCUAUAGUGUUGUACUAUUCGCAAAGUUCUAUUUUGAGAAAAAAAUGGCAAAUUCAAUAUUGUGCCAGCUAAAUGGCGCACCCGCUGUAGCAAGUGAGUUCCCAUCAAAAUCACCCUGAGCAUAUUUUUGCUGAUUUUCAUGAUUGCUCUUCUGCCAGGAACAAUGUUCCUGGCACUUCGACCACACAACUGUAUGUUCAUGUUCCAGUGUCCUUAUUCAUAGUUAAUUUCAAUCACAAAGUGACAAAUGUCAGUCUAUUAGUUAACAUGUGUAUCUCCGUUUCUUCUAAGUUUCAAUCGACCUACUCUGAAGUUGUUCCUAAGAUAGUGCCUCAAGCAAAGGGAAUGAGCCUCAGUUAGUGCAUCUAGCAAGUUCGUGAUCCUUUGUUGGGAUAAACAUUUGUGCAAGAGCAAUAGUCUCGUCACUAUUGGUUGUUAGUACUGUUGCUUGUUAAUUCUACUUUUUACUUCAGUUCGUAAUGCAAUAUAGUUAUGCUUGACGCACUAUAAGAAGACUGCCAUUUUGCCUUUUGACCUUGGUUUCUUCCUCCAGUAAGUAAAUGCACAUAGUUCUUUUGUAAAUUAGAGCAUACGACUUGUUGAUCGAUCUCUGAGCUCAGUAAUAAUAUUAAGCCUCAAUCUGUUUAUUGUGCACACAAGAUGAGAAAGAAUUGCUACCCAAGAAUAUGUACUUUAUAAACAUUUCAACUGUAAUCUGGAAUAAAAUUAAAUAAAUAAGGAAACAGUAUAUUCAUAUAUCUUUUUUGUACUUUGAUGGUGUCACACCACAAGUUCCGAGAUGGUAAUUGUGCUGCAUAUGUCUGCUCUCUUACUUUGUUUUUCUGAACAGGUAGGUUCUGGAAGAUGUCAUGAAGAAUUUCUUUCAGAGAAUUUGCGUGAGCAGCGUGACUAGCUGAUCUGUAGCGGCGCGGAAGGUGAGCUUGGCUGCAGGUAGCAGCUCCUUUGGCUGAUCUGCGGCGAUGCAGAAGUUGGGUUGGAAAGAAGCACGACCGGCUGCUCUGAAGUGGGACGUAGGGAGAGCUUCGUAAGAGAUAGGGAGGGAGCUCUAUUGGCCCGUGCAUGACAUCCAACCCAAUGGCAUCAUGCCCUGGUAGGCAUGGUUGUGUGGCCACGGGGAAAAUGGAGCAAGUAGCAUGUGAGGAGUUUAACAAAUGGGGACAAGGGACAGUUUAGUUAAUUAAGGCUCUAUGUUAGUUUCAAGUUUUAUCCUUGUUGCGGUAAAAAAUUAUGGUUGGAUUAACCACCAUGUACAUCUUUAAUUACUUUUAAAUAAGAAAUAUAAUCAAAAUAUUCUUUUGAAUUGAUAAAA